rnacentral:snRNA from 1 species
GCUUCUUCUUAAGAGACAUCCCAUAAAAUGGGAAUGAUAUAGAGAAGAUUAAUAUGGUUCUGUGCAAGGAUGACACUCACAAAUCAAGAAAUGGUGAAAUGGUAU